AAAGGAAAAAAAAAAGGAUGGAUCUUCUUAUUUGAUGAUUUGAAAAAAUUCCCUCUCUAACUUGGUAGCCCUCUCACGGCGACAACUUGAGCGGCAGUGGCGGAGAGCUCUCUGUUCCAGUCUUCUGUGCCUCUCUCCUUGCUGCUUUUGUGCACUGUUCUCCUCUGUGCAAACCCGUUCCAACCUAACCGCAUUUUAAGAACUUAACAAGAAUGAAAAACCCGACCGGGGUUCGCUGCGCGGAGAACGAAGAACUGGCGUCAUACAUGGCGAACAAGUGGAAGGAAAUGGCGGAUCAGCCGAAAGGGAUUUCAGAUAACAUAGAGAUGACCCUCUCUAAGGCUCACUUUAACGUAUGUAACUCUAAAAUCCCAAUUCGAACCAUCAAAGAUUUCUCUCAGGUCAAGGGUGUGGGGAAAAUGAUCUUGAAGCUCAUGCAGGGUUUUUUUGGGACUGGUGCAGGAGGUUCUGAAUCAGAAGACUUGAAGAGAAAGGGAAAGAAAAAUAGAGGAAUGAAGCGCUAUGUGCCUCAGAGGAACUCUGUGGCAUAUGCUCUGUUGAUAACCCUUUACAGGAGGACUGUAAGUGGAGAAGAAUUUAUGCGAAAACAAGAACUUAUUGAUGCUGCUGAAGCUAGUGGUCUAUCUCGAGUGCCAAUUGCGCCAGAAAAAGGGAAGGGAAAACCUGGACAAUUUGGAAGUUCUCCUCGCGAUUGGUAUAGUGGAUGGAACUGUAUGAAGACUUUGAUAGAUAAGGGAUUAGUUGUAAAAUCAAGUUGUCCAGCAAAAUACAUGCUAACUGAAGAAGGUAAGGCAGCAGCAUGUGAUUGUCUUUCAAGGUCUGGAAUGGCAGAAUGUCAAGGAAAGUCUGUUUCUGUUGAUACUCCAUCUAAUAUGUCAGAUAGGGAAGUCAAUGGUGAUGAUUUGGAAUCAGAAGUUAUGUCACCAUUGACACAACAAAAGAAGCCAAUGGAUGUUCCUCUUGAAUCUCUUUUGAAGUUCACACGCAUGGGUUUCUCAAAGGAACAAAUUGUUAGUUCUUUUGCUGAAGUUUCCAGAAGCCAUCCAAACGAAGAUGUCUCAUCUUUGUGGCCGGCUGUUUUGUGUCAUCUACGAGAGGAGCAAAUCUAUGGUUCACAUCCAAAGUCUUUGACAGCUAUAAAUGAUUGCCAUGAUACUAGUGCUAAUACUGUUCUAUCUGGUUCCAAAGACCUCAUUGGAAACAAGAGCAGAACUGCAAGUUCAGCCUGCAAUGACCAUGUGCCAAAUUUCUCUUCUGAUAUUCCAUCUUUCCCCUUGAGAGCUUGCCCAUCAGCUGUUGAUUCUGUGCAAAUGCCAAGGAAGGAUGAGCUGUCAUCAAAGAUGACCAGUUUAAGUGUUCCACCCUUGAGCUUUGGUGAGAAAUUUGAGGAGGUAUAUCAAGUGAUUUUAAUAUUGGAUGAUCGGGAGCAAUUUGCCACUCAAGGAUCUCGAUCUAGGAAAAUUAUUGAGGAAAUUCGGAUCCAAUUCAAAAUCCAAAUAGAGGUACGACGAUUGCCUGUUGGAGAUGGGAUCUGGAUAGCACGUCAUAAAAUUCUUAAGACUGAAUAUGUAUUGGAUUUUAUUGUUGAGAGGAAAAACAUUGAUGAUUUGCGCAGUUCAAUCAGGGAUAACCGCUACAAGGAUCAAAAACUAAGGCUUCUGAGGUGUGGAUUGAAGAAGCUGAUAUAUUUAGUGGAAGGUGACCCAAAUUCUUCCGAAGCUGCUGAAUGCAUAAAAACUGCCUGUUUUACAACAGAGAUUCUGGAGGGAUUUGAUGUGCAGAGGACGAGUGGUUUAGGUGAUACUCUCAGGAAGUAUGCUUAUCUUACCCAAGCAAUUUCUCAAUGUUACAAGUCAAGAGUUUUUGAAGGCCAUGUUGUAGGUUUUGCACCAUGUCCUCCUUUCGAUGAAUUUAUUAAACAGUGUCAAGACUCUGGAAAAAUGACAGUUAGUGAUGUAUUUGCCAUCCAACUUAUGCAGUGAACCGUGAGACUGAGGAAGAUAUGAGUAGGGGAAGAAGAGGGAUUUGGAACCUUGGCCUUCUACCAUGGAGGUGGGAAGCCAGGAAAACAUGAGUUCGCAUGAGGUAUUAGGAAGAAGGGGAACGGGAGCGGUAUCUAAGAGUGGUAUAUAGGAAGUCUUUGACAGCCUUGGUUAUAUAUAUUUCUUUCCCGUAGGUAUAUAUGCAUAACUCACCUAGUGGGAAAAUGCUUUUUAUUGAUGUCUUGAUAAAUAGAUGAAUAGAUGAAUAACACAAGACAGAGGAUUAGAGUUCCUCUAUACAUUAACAACAGAACCACCGAAAAGUGUUAUCUGUAAAGUAUUGCAUAGGUAUAAAAUUGGGAUCUGCAUAAAAUUGUCUGGUUUAGCUAUUUCUUCACUCGUGUUCGUGUAACAAGCUAUGAAGCAUGAUCGCUGACACAACACAGGAUACACAAACACGAAUUUGAAUUUUUGGAGACACGGUGACACGAUAUAUAUAAAAUAUAAAGUAUUUUUUAAAUAAAUCAUAACAAUAUCUUGAUAUUCUAUUAAUAUUAAAGCACAAAUUAAUUUUUUAAAAUGUUUUUAAUCUCUUUUUCAAUUAUGUAAUUGAUAAAUAAUAAUAUAUAUGAUAUCUAAACUCAUUUCAAGAAUAUAGAUUAAGAAUAGUAUUAGACACGCGGACAAGUGAUAGUAUUUAGGUGUGUUUAGAGGUUUUUGGAGAAGUAUUUUUUAUUUUUUAUUAAGACAGUUACGCACAGAAGACACACAUGUCAAAGGAGCGUCGUGUCCGAAAUGUGUUUGACACGCAAACAUAGCAACUUAACAAAGUGUCUUGUGCUUUACAGGUUCCACAGGUUACAGAGGAGGUUGCCAUGGCGGUUUUAGAUUUGUACCCCACACUUUUAUCUCUUGCUCAUGGCUACUCACUACUCGACGGUAAUUCUUGUGCCCAAGAGGACAUGCUUCGAGCACGGAGUAACAAUAUAAUCCCUGCGGCUGCUAGCAGGAACAUUUUCCAGUUUAUUUG